AAAUUGAAGAGUUUGAUCAUGGCUCAGAUUGAACGCUGGCGGCAGGCCUAACACAUGCAAGUCGAGCGGAAACGAGUUAUCUGAACCUUCGGGGAACGGUAACGGCGUCGAGCGGCGGACGGGUGAGUAAUGCCUAGGAAAUUGCCCUGAUGUGGGGGAUAACCAUUGGAAACGAUGGCUAAUACCGCAUGAUGCCUACGGGCCAAAGAGGGGGACCUUCGGGCCUCUCGCGUCAGGAUAUGCCUAGGUGGGAUUAGCUAGUUGGUGAGGUAAGGGCUCACCAAGGCGACGAUCCCUAGCUGGUCUGAGAGGAUGAUCAGCCACACUGGAACUGAGACACGGUCCAG
rnacentral:rRNA from 1 species